GCCCAGGUGGCGGAAUUGGUAGACGCGCUGGCUUCAGGUGCCAGUGGCCGCUUAGGCCGUGGAAGUUCGAGUCUUCUCCUGGGCACCA
rnacentral:tRNA from 1 species